GGCGUCCUGUCCUGGGUGUACCCCGCCUCGCGCUCUAUGACUGCUGGGAUAGGCUCCAGCCCCCUGCACCCUUAAUUGGACUAAGCGGUAGAAGAUAAAUGAAUGAAUGAAUGAAUGUCACAAAAGGCUAAAGCACACCAUUUCAGGCCUAAAUCCAGUUUAGAGCAACAGAAUAUAUUACUGCAGAUGUUUACGUAAUGUUUAGCUAAAAAUGGUAAAAAUGAGUUACAAGACUGCAGAAGAAGACGACAAGAUGGCAGUGUUAUUUGUAAAAUACAUUUAAUCCCUUUAUGUUUGGGCAAACCAUCGUCCACAAGAGUAGACAGGGGCGAGAUCAGAGUGGUCCAAACUGUCAAUCACAGACAACUUUACUGUGACUGGCUGAUGUCUAAAACCACCAAAUCUUUCCCCCUUUCUGUCCACACAUCUCUGACAACGUACCAAAGAAACGACA